ensembl:antisense Gm43915 predicted gene, 43915
GUGGUGGCACGUCCUGCUCCAGGGGUGGGAGUCGCCCGUUCUCCUUGGCCUGGAGCUUCUCCGAGCGGGACCAGCAGGAAGGGGGUGUGAAGAACUUCUCCUGCAGACUGGAGUCCUCCGUCUUAUCAUCAUAAAUUUCAACUCCCCUAAGGUGCUGACCCAAGUCAUAGAAAGGCAAGAUAUGAAGGCCCAGCCAUGCUUAAGAGACAGCCUUUGGCUUGUGUCCAGAGAGAAGCAACCAGAGACGCCAGAGACCGAGCCAUAUCAGUCCCAUGCAGCAGACUGCGAACAUGAUCCAAACACCUCUCACUAUCUGCAGCCCCACCCCACCUCACCUCCAAAGGUGAUUUGCCUCAGAUCAUCAGUACAAAAACACGUCUCUCCUUCCCUGUACUCCAACAGCGCACAGAGCCAGGCAGGGAGAGUAAUUUCUCAUGAGGACUGUGAAUGGAGCUGUGAAUCAUCACUGGAGGUUUUUACAAAGGGAUGAUGGAGAGUUGGCUCAGUGGUACUCGGGUACCACUUGCCUGGCAUGGGUAAAGGCUUAGGUUCCAUCCCUACACUGGAAAAGUUAAAGUAAGAGGCAGAGAAGUAAGGAAAUGAAGCUGACAGACAGACCUAUAAGCCUGCUGGCACGACAGGCUUCCCCCUGGAGGCACAGAUGGGCCCGCAUCACCGUCAACCCUAUGGCCUUCGGUGUGAGUAUCUGAUGUGACUCCAGUUCACUUUCUCACAGGUAACUCGUGGUUGUUUGUUCCCUUCCUCAGUUUGAUGAUCCUCUUACAUCAUCCGUGAUGAAACCCUCUGUCUUGCCGUCUUCUGACUUUCCACUAGCAGCCCUGGGAAUCACUGCUCCCUCCCCCCAAAAGAGGCGCCUUGUGUUUCCUGUAAUAAAGAGAUGCAUCCCUGCCGAUGUACAGGGUGCAUCCGCACCUUCACAGAAACACCAGGACAAAGCUCUCGCUCUCAGAGAGCUCUUCUCUCAAGGGUAUGAUGACAGAGUAGGGGCAAAGGGAAUCUGUGUACACAGUGGGCACACAGGCACAUCCCACUAUGGUUCCUUGGUUUCCAUGCCUGCUUCUAACCCAGACCACUGAAGGGCUUAGCGAGUGCAUUCAGAGCACCCAGACAGUGUCUGGCACACAGCUAGCGCUGCCCAUGGGUACUGCCGUCGUCAGCACCAUCGUGUGCCUUCCUAUUUCUCUACUUAAUUUUACUUUUUUGUUUGUUUGAGGCAGGGUUUCUCUAUGUAGUCUUGGCUGUCCUGGAAGUCACUCUUGUAGACCAGGCUGGCUUCAAACUCACAGAGAUCUGCCUGCCUCUGCCUCCCAAGUGCUGGGAUUGAAGGCGUGCGCCACCACUGCCUGGCUACUUUUCUUUUUUGAGGCAGAAUCUUGCUAUGUAGUUGGUGUGAUGCUGGCAAUGUAGCCCAGGCUGGUCUCAAGAUCACGGCUAUCCUCUUACCUCAGCCUCAGCCUCUUGAAUGCUCGAAUACAGACACAUGCCACUACACCUUAGUGAUUUUCUCUUCUUUUUUAUCUUUUUUUUUAAAUGGAACUGGGGAUUUGGGGAUUCAAUCUAGGGCCUUGAGCAGGCUAAAACAACUACCCGGUCACUCAUCCGUAUCUCUAGCCUCCGACUUUAUAUUCUGUGAUCUGCUGUGGCAGGCAUGCUGAAGAGCAACAAUCAUGGAAGAAGACAAGAGGGGUUCGCAAACCUCUAAUUUUCUAUAGUGUUUCUGAGGAUAGUCCUUCAGAUCCUUCUCAGGGGAUGCAGAACUGGAACCCAAAGACUGCUCCUGACUCCUGGCAAUGUAGCAAACAGGAGGACUUUGGCUUUAGUCUUGUGUACCCUCACCCCACACCAGUACAGCUGUUUCUUGGAGACUGCACAGACUCAGGCCAGCAGGACCCGGAGCCUCCUUCCUUCCUUCCUUCCUUCCUUCUUUCCUUCCUUCCUCCCUCCCUCCCUUCCUUCUUUCCGUGUGUCACAUGGUUCCUGCCAGUGUCGGCUCCCCAGAACACGAGCCAGAGAAGAGGAAGGCAGCUGGUGACUCAGUCACUCUCAUCAGACUCAACUCUAGGGGAGAGCACGUGCCUUUUACACAGAGCCCACCAGCCUGGUCUCCGGGAGGUGGAACAGUGGGAAAGAAACCACACAGCUGGCCUCUCUAACCUGCUAUUGUAGAUGCUGGCAGUCCUAGGAAAUGACACAGGUGCCAUUAUAAUCUCCUUUCAAGGGACACCAAUGUCAUUGAUGAGCACCCUUCUCUGAUGUUCCAGUCAGUCUGAUUCAUAACUCAUUUUUCAAGUUUCAAUCUGAGCAGAUACUCAACACCAAGGGGAUUCCUCUUUCUAGAAUUUUCUCCAAAUAGUUGUCAUGAGUGCAUUGAAGAAAAAAAAAAAAGCCCACUGAGUUGCAACACUGGUCUCCUGUAAUUAUUUUUAUGUGAAGGAGCAUCUGUCACCAAGGUCGAGUUUCUCUAGGAAUGAGCCUUAAAAGAGGUAAGCCAGCAACCGACCCCCCGACCUUAGAGUCUCAGGAAGGGAUACGAUACUGGGCACAAAAAUGCUGGGUUCUAAUGACAGGGAAAACUGCACGUAAAGUUAGCUACUAGGGACGAACAGUCACAGGUGAGGACAAACAAGGACUCAGGCUCCAUUUCUUCUGCAGUAACUGCGAUGAGGAGGGACUAAUCCUGGUAUCUCACAGAAGCCCAGGAGGAGGAAGCCAGUCACAAGUCACUGUGGACAAUUUAACAUAUACUGUACGAUCACAAAGAACCAAGUACAGAGAAAAGCUAAAGCAAAGAAACCAGGAGAGGCCAACAGAAAUCCUGACUUCAUCUGUACAGCCCCUAGCAAUGAUUAUCCCGGGAUAAGCUGGAGCAGGCCAGACCCGCGGUCCUGCAUUCCUUCAAGUUUUCCUAAGCCUCCACUACUACGGACAGUGAAUGUUCACCGUUGGAGAAUGUUCUGCCCAUAUUUUGAGAACAGCUCCUUGGGAGGAAAAGGCCAUCAAAGUCAAGGGAACUAAACUCAGCCUUAACUAGAGUAAAGCUUCAUCUCUCGCCAACUGUCCUUAGACUCAUUAAAGCACCUCAGAUGCUUUCAAAACCGUUGACAAACCACUUCUGCAAAGUUGAGAAAAAGAUGACCCACAGGAAGUGAAAGGGAGAUGGUGAACACGUGGCCAGGAACACCCGGAAGUAAUUGAAGGUUGCUCCCUAUCAAUAGAGGCCCGCCUCCCUUCCUCAGGUGUACGGAGGGUGCUUUUGCACAAUCAAUUCUACACCCUCUGGAACUAUGUCAGGAGGAAACAAUGAGUGGCUGCCGAGAUUGGGUGGGGACAGGAGCAGCUGCCAGGCUUUCGACGUAGCCUAGGUCCAAACGUCAGUGGGGUCCCUACCCCCCAGUUCAUCAUGAGUCAUUUGCUUGUUGGCACUUGCUAGAUGCUUGCCCAUAUGAGCUGUGAGGUGAAGCCACGGUUGGGGCUGGAAUCCAGUGUUCCCCUAAAACUUCCACCUAUUUGAGGUGAGAUUCCCCACUGGGUGGGUUCUUCUGACUCACACUCGAGAGGGCCCCGUAUUCACAUGGCACCAUCCUGCCCUCCACUUCAGCAUGAAAAUAAGAGAGUGGUCAUUUGUACAGUCUGUUCUCCCAAGUCUGUGCUCAGCCUCUGUGCCAGGGAGUGUCUUAAUUAAAAAAGCCACCAGGGAAUGUAUAAGAAAAAGAGAACAAUUUCAAGAUGUUUCAGUAAGAAACCAAGUGCCCUUGGAGGUUUCCCAGGAACUUUACAAGAUCUUGCACAGAAUCACAUCAGCUAUUAGGCAAAUCAGUACACUGUCCUAAUGACCCCGGCCCUCUUCCCCUCAUCAUUAGGUCUGGGAUGGCGAGGGCAGCAGAGGGUUAGAGUGUAUGAUCCUCUCUUAUUACUGGCUCUUGGCCAGCCCCUGUACCUGCCACCUCUCUCCCCUCAAUUCCACUGCGGGCACAGAAUACUAUUUCAAAGAAAGAGGGAUAGGUUAGUGUGGCAGGGAGGGUCUUGGCCCAGUGUGCCAACUCCACAACUCCACAACUUCCACAAAGAAGCCUGAUGUUCUUCAACUUCUCAGAGGUCUGCUGCUGGCUGGAGAAUGUCAGCAAGGGACAACACCCAGACUUCCCCAGAGUCAACAGAAAAAACUCAAUAUGUAUGGAGUACUUCAUCCACCAAGGUGCCCACUUGUGGCCCUGUUUGGCAUGCUGACAUGGCAGAGGUCUCACUACUCCUUGGCUAGCCCCAGCGUGUGUGAGUGGGACAGGCUGGCCCCUCCAGGCUUGAGGGCAGUCGUCCAGUGAAAGGAGACACUGUGACUCAGGUCCCUGAUGAUACAGCACAGGAGAGACACCAGCUGGAGAAUGAGGAUGCUGAGUGUCAGCAGGACCCCAGUCAUAACGCCUGAGGGCACCUAACCAGUCCCAGUUCUGAGGAUGGCGCCUGGCGCCAUGUCCUCUCAGCAGCCUUGGGCUCUGUGCAGAUAUUUAUCCUCCAUCUGCCAAUCCUGAGGUCCCUUAUGCUGGAUCAGUAAACCCGGGAGACAUGGGCAAGAAUAACAUUCUCCUUGCUCUUCUCCAUUUACAAUUGCUGCGAAAUGAAACAUCCCACAGCAUGCCACACCCUGCACAAGGUCCUUCCGUUAGUGGGACACUACACUAGGUGGGUAACCUGGUCCUCAGGGCCAUCUGUGCCCUCCCUACCCUCAGCAUAAGUCAGGGUUCUGGGAAACACUGGCUUCCACAGCCCGCGCUCCACACCUGCCUGAGUCUUCCCUUCCUUUCCCACCCUCCAAUCAGGAAAAAGAGAAAGAAAAGAAAAACUCAGAAACCUGAAGAUUGUUUGGAAUUUAUUCUCUUAAAUAAGAAUGUAACAUUUGUUAAAAAAAAAAAAAACCACCAAAAAAAAAAAAAGAGAGAGAAAAAAACCCUUAAAGCACACAACACCUUGGUUUCACAGUAAUGGCAAGAACAAAGUUACACAAUUAAAUAAAAAA